rnacentral:tRNA from 4 species
AGAAACUUAGGAUAGCCCAAACCGAAGGCCUUCAAAGCCUUAAACAAGAGUUAGACCCUCUUAGUUUCUG